AACCUGUGAUGACACGAUUCUGCCAAAUGAAUCUGCUGAUUAUAUCCUUAUACCGUUCCUUACAUCUGAGGUU